rnacentral:rRNA from 1 species
AAAGGAAUUGACGGGGACCCGCACAAGCGGUGGAACAUGUGGUUUAAUUCGACGAUAAGCGAAGAACCUUACCAGGGCUUGACAUCCUUGGAAUCCCCUAGAAAUAGGGGAGUGCCGUAAGGAGCCAAGUGACAGGUGUUGCACGGCCGCCGUCAGCUCGUGCUGUGAAGUGUCCCGUUAAGUCGGUAAACGAGCGCAACCCCUUUCGUAUGUUAAAUAUCUCAUGCGAUACUGCCGGCGUUAAGUCGGAGGAAGGUGGGGAUGACGUCAGGUCAGCGUGACUCUUACGCCCUGGGCGACAAACGUGUUACAAUGGGUAGGUACAAUGAGUUGCCAAGCCGAGAGGCGGAGCUAAUCUCAUCAAAACUACCCCCAGUUCGGAUUGAGGGCUGAAACUCGCCCUCAUGAAGCCGGAAUCGCUAGUAAUCGUAGGUCAGCCAUACUACGGUGAAUACGUUCUCGGGUCUUGUACACACCGCCCGU